rnacentral:tRNA from 1 species
AACGUCAUUGUCUAAUGAUAGGACAAAGUCUUCUAAACCUUUGUAUAGUUCAAAUCCUAUUGACGCAA